UGCAGAUUACCAAUAGGUUGGUUUGAUGUUGAAGAAGACAAGUUUGUAGACUCUCAGAACUUGUACAAGAUACAAUAGAGAAAGAUUAAGAUGGUUCCAAAUCAUUUGGUUACAAUUUAGAGUAGGCAAGAGUCUGAUGUUGGUAGGAGGCGACACCCUUCAAGUUUGUCGAUUGCGAUCAUGUGUUCUUACGCGUUUCUCUAAUGAAGUGAGUGUAUAGUUUGGUAAGGAAGGGAAGUUAAGUUCAAGAUUUCUUUAAUGUAGGUACUUUAGCGAGGACCAUCUAGUGAAGAGAUGACUUAGGAACCAGACUAUGCACGAGAAGUAUCCACUCUUAUUUGAAACCCAGUGUUAGCUCAAAAUUCGAGGACGAAUUUUCUUUAAGGGGGGAAGAUUGAAAUGAUCCGUUUUAAAAUAAAAGUGGGGACAAAAAAAAAGACAGAGAAUAGAAGAUUAGAAAAAAAAAAACAAGAAAAACAAAAAUCUAACCUUUAAAAAACCCACCGUAACCCCACCCUAUUCCUAAUGAAAAAAAAAACAAUUCCCUAAUUCUUAAAACAAAACCACGUAAUACUACCCCAUCUACCCACUACUUUUCUAUCUAAACCUUAUGUUCUCUCUCGUUUUUGCUCUGCGUCAGAGAGCAAGCAAUUGAUUAUCUCCCACAAAUUCUUGUUCAUCUUUUGUUCUUUUUCACUACAAGUUCCACACCAAAUUUCCGAUUCCAAUAGACACCCAUGAAGGAAUAUUUUGGCAUCCAAGUGGAAGUGCUUUUGGGAUAAUUUUGAGGGUUAGGGUUUGUGCUCUAAGGAAGGAGAAGAGUAUCCACUCCUACAGAAUUGUUCUUCCUAUUUCAUUGAGAUCUGCCGGUUAGUGGUUCGUUUGGUUGUCGCGCCGUUGUAGAGAGCAAUCGUGUUGGUUCUUCGUAACUGCUUGCCAGGCUAAGGUGAUAGUCUGUGCGCCGGUCACGGCUUAGGAUUUUGGGUCGUGACACCUUGAGAAAAUAAUGAGAGUUUCGAUCACCAUCUUUUAGCCAUUCACCCUCGCCUUUUGAAGCCACAUCCUUUCUUCCAAUCUAUAUUCUUUCCACAGAUGAUUAAGGAUCUGAAGCCUAUUCUUACGCAAGUCAUCGGAGACUCCAUCCCUCUCCAUUCUGGUCACAACCUCAUGAAGUUCACCUUCCAGAAUUUUGAUUUUCUCUGAACCCCACACGCCCCU